CUUCUUCGAUUUUCAUUUGUAGCCGUUGCAAAUACUCGGUGCCAUGGUUACAAAUAGAGCAAACAAAGACGUAGAAUCUAUAUGCGGGUGGUAGGGUACAGAGGCUGUUUUAGAACUUUGACGCAAUCGCCAUGGAACCACUGUCGACAACGGGUGCAGUGAAUCAUUUGCUUGUACCAUGAUCCGGACCGUCCGCAAUAGCAGUAAGUGUCUUGAUCAUUGAUUUUAUGACUGCGGUUCCAUGUGAGAGAACUUAACUGUAGGAAAGGAGAACAUACAGAGAUUCCACUCGAUAGCUUCAUUUAAUUUCUAGUUCCAAAUCUCAGAGUUGUGCACUCCACAUCGCUUGAUCUGUAUUAUACCAGAACCAGUAUUAUAUUGUACCCGGUCUAUUAUUUUUGUUCCAUACGGUGCUUGUACAUAUUUGUUUAAGUUUCUUUUUAAAUUUAAAUAGUGCGACCCAGUUCAAUGGGUCACAUUGUUUAAGGAGCACGCACAACACACAUCUAAUACUUUAAGAAACAGAUAGAAUUUGGCCCUACGCCAUGUCUUUGCAGAUACCAGUUUUAUGGCGAAAAGUGACCUGGCGAGUAGAAGAGUGUAAGACCAAAGAUCCAAAGGGGAAUUUCUUCCGAACUAUAUCGAGCUCAAGUAUCUUGAGAUGAGCAUUUAUAAUCAUCCUCUGAUCAUAGGGUGCUACAAUCAGUCUCCGGACAUGAACUAGUGGUCAAACACCUAUUGCCUAGGAAUGAGCAUUCCUGGAGGUGGUGCCGUCACCCUGCGAGGGUUUCCCAAAGGUGUGUUCAGUCCACUGUUCUGUUUUGAAAUAAAUAAAUAAAAAUCCACUUACA